rnacentral:rRNA from 1 species
AGUGGCGGACGGGUGAGUAAUGUCUGGGAAACUGCCCGAUGGAGGGGGAGUAACUACUGGAAACGGUAGCUAAUACCGCAUAACGUCGCAAGACCAAANAGGGGGACCUUCGGGCCUCUUGCCAUCGGAUGUGCCCAGAUGGGAUUAGCUAGUAGGUGGGGUAAAGGCUCACCUAGGCGACGAUCCCUAGCUGGUCUGAGAGGAUGACCAGCCACACUGGAACUGAGACACGGUCCAGACUCCUACGGGAGGCAGCAUG